AAAAAGCUAUGGCAAAGCUAAGUUUCUUUUUGUUAAAUGGAAAACCCUGUAGGUAUUUUAUUAGUUUCAAUUCGGUAAUUGCCAAUUUAGGGAAUUGAUUCAUCAUGGCAAAUGAUGGAGGUUGCAUAGUCAGACUCGGUAUAUGUUGGGUCUAAGUAGAUAUGUUUUUUGUAGGCGUUUGCUGGACAAGAGAUUUAAUCAAUGCUAAAAUUUUCAAGUUUUGUGUCCCCUUAAUCGAUGUUAUUGUUGCUUUAUUGGGUUGAUCGAAAGUUGUGUUGGUUAAUUGAGCCGACAUUGGCGAAAAAGCGCCAGAUUGAAAAUAGAUUCGUUCGUAAAUUUUUGUUGCAUUCUGGAAGCCUUGAGAACUUUUGAAACAUUUGAUCAGGAAGCGAUCAAUUUACGCCAACCGCAUUUGACUUAUUUUGAUCAAAGUUGUGAUUGCCUCCGAUUAAGUCCAAGCGAAUCAUUAAAGCGCUUAGUCCUACCCAGCAUGGUACCAGUUUGGCACUCAAGCAUGUCGAUGGCACGACGCCAGCAGAAGUAACUGCUCCAUUGUGAGUGGAUGAUCCAGAAAACAGGUAGAACCCAAAGUGGUUCCGUACACACGUCUGGCGUACGUGAGUCAUGCGCGUCGCUGCCGUCAUUGGUACCAUGUUGACACCCCGACGGCCGUCUCACCCCCCUCGUCACCAGUGGCAGGUGUCCAGGAGCCUGGGAACCCGACUUCUUGCUCGGUUCCCACAGCCAGCACGCACCUGGCGUACGACCGAGAGAGAGACAGACAGACGUGGUGGUGAUGAUGGUGAUGCGAUCGGUCCAUCGAAUAGAAAUGCCUGAUUGGAAGGGUGACUGGCACAUAUCGGGUUCGUGGGGGAGUAAACUGAACCCACUGAACUGGCCGAUGUAGCCGUUAAUUGCCAGGCGAAAAGUAACCGACAGGAAUUUUUUAGGGGCGGUUGCUAAUUUCAACCGAGCCAGCCUAAUUGGGUGCGUUGGUCAGACUCAAGAGGAAGCAACUGGGAUGAAUGAAGAUGUAGAGCAUUUCGAAAACAUGCAAUUACGCGAAGGAAAGUGGCAAUGGAAAUGGACAGAGUUGAAGACAGCUGAAGCAAAGUAGAAAGACGUUGUUUUGGUUUUGCUUGCUUUAUUUGCUGGUGGUGUUGGUGAACAUCCUGUUUAUCAGUCGCGUUAAUUGUCAUCGCUAAUCGUUGCUCUCAUGUGCAGGUUUAUGCAAAUGUCCCGCAUAAAAUUUACAUGAAGGGGUUAGAAGCAAAACCGCCCAGGUCGCAAAAGGUUUAUUUAGAGAAAUAAAUCCUCAAAAUUUUCUUACAGUCGAAGCCCAAAAACUUCAAAAAGGCGUAAAAAAUCGGGUGGUGUAAGAUCCGCUAAUCGCGGAGGCCCCCAAUAAGAACACUGUUGUUGCGGAGCAACAACCGGUCGAACCCUAUUCUUUGAUAGCAGAUUUCUGGAUUGGGGAUCAUUUUAUUUUAUUUUAUUUUAUUUUUAUUACUAUUAACUCAGAUAUGCUUAAACUACUCAAUGUAAAAGAAAGUCGCACUUUCAUCGGCCAAUGUUUCCUCAAAAUUUCCUAAUACCAGAUCGCAAAAUCAAUAUUUGAAGUAAUCAAAUCAUUCGGUAUUGGUUCCCUGGGUUCUCCUCGAGUAACGAAGAGUAACUGCGGUACAUGCAGCAUCUCAAUGUAGAGCAUCUGCAAGUGGUUCAACUAUCUCGCAAUCUGCCCCGUAACACAUUCACCUUUUAAAGCCCGCAAUUACGCUGCUUAUCGCUAUCGCAAAUUGUGAAUUAUUGAUCCUAUACCGGCGGCAUUAAAAUCGAAUUUAAAACAAUCAGGUUCGAUUCAGCACGGCACUACCGUUACGAAAAACAUUCAUUCGUCUUCCAUUAUCUUCAGUUUUUAUCUUCGUCCCGUUUUCGGCCUCAUGAAGGGAAGCACGCCGAUUUUAGGUGGCUGAGGCCUGACCGAUCAUGUGUGUGUACACGAAAAGAACUGAUCAGUUCAGAUGAAAGUCUUCAUCGAAGAUUAUUAACAGAACACGUAGAUUUGAGGGAAUGAUCCAAGAGGGUCUCCAGAAAAGAAUUCCUAAGUGUAUUGUUUUUUGCUGGUCAAUUUUUGCGGACUAAACUGAACAGAGGAACAUAUUUUGGGCCUUAGAAGAAAAAUGUUAAUCAAUUACCCAGCUUUCGGAAUGUAUUCCCGUCUUCAGGACAAGCUGAAGAAAGAGGCUUGCUAUUUGAAUCUGAGGGUUUUUCUGAGGACCACAGCAGAUCGAUCCAAAAUAUUUAAAUUCCACUUGGAACGUCAACUUUAGGACUACCUGAAGAAGAAAAGACACAUAUUUCGAAAGCUAGAUUUAUUUUUCUGACGACCCCAACAGAUCGAAUUCUACACCAAAAACCCAGUAGUUUUCUCGGUGUAGUGGAAUACCCUGAUAGCUCGAAGGCAAUUUACCCAAGUUAAGUCAAUACAUCGAGAGCGUAUAAUAUUUGAGCACUUAGCUCGCAGCUACUGGUCUUUUGACAUUUGAACAGUUCUUCGGUACCGCUUUAAAAUAAUAGGUAUUGGCCAAGAUAAUUCGCGAUUAAGCCAAUGGCUGGUCGGCUUUAAUUUAGGGCCACGUUCGUUUUACGAUAACUGCCCUCCGAAACGUAAAAACCUACUCAAACUUAAAUAUAAUGGUCGGCUCACAUCCUGCACAAGUCGGAUGCUGCAGUAAUUACUCGGUACCGUUGUGGAAAUUAGGCGAAACCCCAUCAGCAGGACAAUAAUUUGAUGUCCCUGAACCCGAUCGCAGCGCCAAAUGCAUUAAAAUUCUGCACUUGCUUCUGCCCGUCUACAAAAUGCUUACGGUACUUCAACAGAAAAAUCAUCAAUUGAAAAGGUUGGGAUGAUAAAGAAAAAAUAAAAUAAAACGCGCUUGCCACCAGCAUUCAUUUUCAACGGGCCAUAUUUUAUUCAUGAACUGGAUCGGAUCUUUCGUAGCAUUUUUUCCUGCAAGACAUUGUUCGUUUACUGCUGGAAAUUCUACUCGAUUUAAUUGAUGGUUGUUUACAUUGCCGAUGGUCGAGACUUGGCUCUUAAACUGCAUUUUUAACCGAAAUCAUCUUUAAUAUUAUUAAUAUUAUAUUAAUUAAAAUGCAAAGCAAAGUUUGUAUAAUUGGAGCUUUGAUUUCGCCCCUUUCCUUUAGAUCUAGGUGAUUAAACAAAUUACAUUUUACCUUUUCUGGCACCUGCUGGCUAAAUGGCAAGCAGCAAUUAAUCCUCAGCUCAUUCCCCGGUUUGUUCAUUCAUGUUCACCCUUUGUAGUCGACAACAUAUCAUUUUAAUCCUACUAACCAACUAGUUAAACAGUAAAAACUGUUUACUUCCGGUGACAAAAGGAAACCACUCGUAAUUGCCGGGUUAGAGCCCUUUUAUUUGCCUUGUGUAAAAUGGUAAUUGGCUACUAAUAAGCGUGUCAUAAUUCAUGUUUAAUAUAGUUAUUAGUGCGACAAUGUGAAAAUAUUGGGUGUGGGGUGUGGUCGAUUUUUCGCUUUGUGCUCGUGGGAAAGACGUUUUGUGUUUGUUCUACCGGUCCACAGUAACUGGAAUUGAUUUGCUAAUUUCUGAAUAAUUACGUGUUUUAUGACCAACCGCAAUAUUAACUGAAUUUGCUUAAUUCUGCAUAUUUCCCCUGAUUCUAACAGACUUUUCCACCCAACAGCAAAGAACCUUGACUGUUCAAAAGUAAGGAACUUAUCAUUUAACCCAGCCAGGCAUCGAUCACAUUAAACUCCCUGUCUUCCGCACACACCCUACAAACAAGCAACAGGGAUUUUGGGAUUUUUGGGCAGGUAGUUCACCUGUUUUCGAUGUAGGGCUCGAAUGCCCACAUGGGGAGAAACAAGAGGGUGGCACAUAAUUUUAUAUAGGAAGGGUGGAUGGUUAUUAUUUUCGUCAAUCGACGGGGUUUAUGCAGGGCUGCUCAGGUGCCGCCAACCUGAGGAGGGUCGGCAAAAGUCGUUUAUUUGAUUUUCUGGGUUCUCAUCAGGAAAUAUUAAAUUGAAGAAGCACAUUUUUGGCUCGAAAAUUCUUAUACUUUCAAAACUUGAUCUAAAAUGUUGUUUUUGUUUUUGGAAGUCAAAAAUGUGUAGUUUUCACACAAAUACAAGCGUUGUUUUUACAUAUUUGAGACUAGCAAUCGAGACAAUGGAACGAGGGACUUGAACCUGUAAAUGCAAAAAUCUUCAUUAAAACCCCGAUUUUUUCAAACUGUCCAAACGUUAGUAGUAAAUUGCAGGUUUUCGCCCCACUACAACGUUUCUUUUGAAAUAUUCCAACCAGAAAAUGAAUCUCCAUUAGCACAUUGGAGACAAAUUGAUCUUACGUUGUCCCAUUGAAAAAAAUCAGAAAAUACACGCACGAAUUUAUAUCGAAAAAAGUCGCAACACCAAGCAAGAAAUUCCCUCGGACAAAGUGCCUCUGCCCAAUUUCUUAUAUGGACAGAGGAGUAUUCGAGGCCAUAAAAGGCAAAAGCAAAAAAAGGACAGACGACGAUGCGCCAAAGUUCGUUACAGCCCGCAGCAUCCCAAAAGGAAAAAAGCUAAAGCGCACGGUCUCACAGGUAAACACGGUAGCCAAUAAGAGCGAAAGAGAAGGAAACCAUCGCACCUCACGACUCACGAGUUGGUCGCGUGUGGAGCUCGCGCUAAACCUCUGGCCACGUUGCCGCCUUUACCCAGCCAACCAUACCCCAUACCAUUGGAACCCAUAAAAAUUAUUCCUCAAACCCAAUCUUUAGUCUGGGGGGCUUGGGGUGUCGACCAGCCAUCUAAGCCAACCAAGAGCCACGUCCAAAUUGCUCUUGGCGGCCCAACAUCAAGCCAAAAUGCUUCCAAAAUUUUGAAGCUUUCCUUCACAUAAAAGCCGGAUCUUCCAACUUGGCAUCAGGGCACCAAAGCAUGCGCCAAAGACAGGUAAAGCUCGCUCUAUAAAAAGCUUUGGGUUUCGGUUCGGUUUCGUCAUAUCCACUGAACCAUCGUCAAGCGUGGUACUGGUGUGAAGUACGAUUGCGCUAAACUCGUGCUGGCACAACCUCAGGCUGCGUCAUCAAUCAGCUGGUUCGGUCUUUCGUCACUAAUCAUGUGUUAUAAACAAACCAGUUCCAAGAUGAGUCAAACCCCAAGGCCACCCUUCCGACGAAUUCUUCCGAUUGGGGAGGUAAUCAGACCAAGGCUUCCAAGAUGGAUCACAUCAACACCUAGAGUAAACCUGAACAUCAAUUGGUCAAAGUUUGCCGAGUUGAGCAAUGGAGACGCUCCAUUGCAACCGGUAUGAAACUUAUGAAAAUUUGGUUCGUGGACAAAACUGAGUCUUCGACCUCUUGUACAUUUGCGGUAUGUAAUUUUAGUUUUUAAAUAUAAUUUUUUUCCAUCAUCAACUAAUUGUUUGCUAAGCUGAGCUGCUUCGUGCAAUUCUACAUUUUAAGAUUCAGCCUGUGCAAUGUUAAGUUUAUUGAUUUUCUAACGUGCAAUUCAAAGGUUAAAUUCUUAUUUUCGGGUGCAAUUUAGGUUUCGAUUAAAAACUGUUUUUGGAAAUCGUGCAAUCAGCUUCCUCUUUUGGUUGUUUCAAACCGCUCUUCAAGCGGAACCCUGAAUGGCUUUCGCUUCAGGUCUCGUGCAAUAAAUGUGAUAACAAAAUGAUAGAGUAUGUGAUAUUAUGUGAUUUUUCUGAACUGGAGCAAAAGUAUCUAAAUGUGAUCGAGAUACUUGUGAUAUUGUAGGCCAAGUGCAAUAAGUCUUUUUCUGAUUUGUGUACAUUAUCAGACACCUUUUAAUUUGCUCAAGCUUUAAUUUUUCCGGACAUGAUGCGCCCAUUUUUGGGUCUCGAAACAUUUUUGCCACAAAUUUGUAAUUCAUUUACUUGAUUCCUGCAUUUUAAAUAGAAAUAUUUAAGAUCACAAAAUUGGGCUCUUCAUGUUCUCGACUUAGGUAGGUAUAUGAUAGGUAAUCAAUCAAUGACUAUCCAAUUUGGAAAGUUGAUCGCAAUUGCUGAAGCUUUAAUAGUUUUAAGGAGUAUAAAUGAAGAUGUGUAUUACUGUAAGUGUACUUAAAACAUAUAGGCCGAACAGUGUCAAUCAAUUUGUACAUAAAUGCGUUAAAUUAGGCUUAAAAUCUCGCGCACUUUACUGCACCGUAUAAUUAGACCCAGCACUUUUCCAGCACCUCUAUGUAUGUAACUUUAAAAGUGCUCAUAAAGUUUUGUGAUAGGUUUACGUACAGCUUUUCUUAUUAUUUUAUGUAUAUUUUCUGUGAUAUCAGCUUAACAAAAUGAUUUCGUUGUUGUGUUUGUUUACUUUUCUCUGUUACUAUAAGUUGUAAAAAGUAGGAUUUGCAUUAGGUUUGUGUGUGUUUUUUUGUAGCUUUAGGUGAUUCACUCCCAUGAUCUUUCACUAGGUUUAGGUUUAUAAUCGUUUGGUAUUUGUAGAUUUAAGUUUGUAAUCAUUGUAGCGUUUUGAAAAUAAAUGACUUUUAAAAAC